rnacentral:rRNA from 1 species
GUGUCAGCAGCCGCGGUAAUACGAAGGGGGCUAGCGUUGCUCGGAAUUACUGGGCGUAAAGGGCGCGUAGGCGGCGCAUUUAGUCAGGCGUGAAAUUCCUGGGCUCAACCUGGGGACUGCGCUUGAUACGGGUGUGCUAGAGGGCAGGAGAGGCUCGCGGAAUUCCCAGUGUAGAGGUGAAAUUCGUAGAUAUUGGGAAGAACACCGGUGGCGAAGGCGGCGAGCUGGCCUGUUACUGACGCUGAGGCGCGACAGCGUGGGGAGCAAACAGGAUUAGAUACCCUUGUAGUCC